UGGACUUUAAACAUUGCACUGGCAGUGUGAAACUCUGAAGGUCCUGGCAGCGGUGAGUAGUACUGUUGCUGAUACAAGACAUUGCUAAUGAGCAGAAAACCAAAUGAACAAAAUCUGAAACGCAGGAAACCAAGGUUCUAAUUUUGGGAGAGAAGCUUAAACUUGCAGAAUGGAGCAAUAAAAGUUCAAAAGAAGGUUAGAGGCCAGGAUGGGGGAGACCUCCAGCAGCAGCCACCUUGUUGCCUGGUGACAUGCAAGCCCAGGUGGUCCACUGGGAAGGAGGUCCUGUUCCAGGAAGCUUCAAAUGUCAACAAAGAGCUGUUAUAAACCCGAGGCAGUGGUGUUCAUACAUGGAACAAGAGCUGAUUUUCUGUCUGUAAAUUCAAUGUUGGGGAUGGAUUCUCAUCUUUUUGGUAUUGGAUAUCUGUAUCUAUCCCCUCUGAUCU